rnacentral:sRNA from 1 species
CCCUAGCCCUGAUGGGAGGGAAAAUCCUUUUGUGUCCGCCGCGGCGGACACAAAAGAUUUAGAAGGACAGCAGGAAAUAGC